rnacentral:rRNA from 1 species
UACUGGGGGUGCAAACGUUGCUCGGAAUCAUUGGGCGUAAAGCGCACGUAGGCGGUUCGUUAUGUCGGAUGUGAAAUCCCCGGGCUUAACCUGGGAACUGCAUUUGUGACUGGCGGACUCGAGUAUGGCAGAGGGGGGUAGAAUUCCACGUGUAGCAGUGAAAUGCGUAGAGAUGUGGAGGAAUACCGAUGGCGAAGGCAGCCCCCUGGGCCAAUACUGACGCUCAUGCACGAAAGCGUGGGGAGCAAACAGG